rnacentral:rRNA from 1 species
GCACAACGCGAAGAACCUUACCAGGCCUUGACAUGCAGAGAACUUUCCAGAGAUGGAUUGGUGCCUUCGGGAACUUACAUACAGGUGCUGCAUGGCUGUCGUCAGCUCGUGUCGUGAGAUGUUGGGUUAAGUCCCGCAACGAGCGCAACCCUUUUCCUUAUUUGCCAGCGGGUUAAGCCGGGAACUUUAAGGAUACUGCCAGUGACAAACUGGAGGAAGGCGGGGACGACGUCAAGUCAUCAUGGCCCUUACGACCAGGGCUACACACGUGCUACAAUGGUCGGUACAAAGGGUUGCUACCUAGCGAUAGGAUGCUAAUCUCAAAAAGCCGAUCGUAGUCCGGACUGGAGUCUGCAACUCGACUGCGUGAAGUCGGAAUCGCUAGUAAUCGCGAAUCAGAAUGUCGCGGUGAAUACGUUCCCGGGUCUUGUACACACCG